AAAAGUGGGAUGUGAAGCCGAACUGACUGUGUUUCUCAUGGAAGGGGAGUAACGGCUGACAGGAAUGGAAGAUGUCGGAGGGAAAAGAAGGGGUUUACCAAUAAACAAGCGUGGCAAAGGCCUCAGCCGUGAGAAUACCGUGGUGAAGUCCUAGGGUUAAUCAUCUGAUCCACAACAUUCACAUGUCAGAGGGAAAAAUUAAAAGGAUGAAAAUCUGGGAAAACUUUACCUUGUAUCCUGCACACAAGAUCAACGUCAAACCAAGGUCUGUUAGACUGCUUUACACCUGUAAAUGGAUAUUCAGCAAGUUGAUAACUUUGUAGGAACAACAUAACACCGUCAGGUAUUUGCAAUAUUUGUCUGUAAACUACUUGGGGUUUAAUAAAUGAGCUUAACUUGCUUACGUUGUCACGUGCAGACGUCUGUAACGUCUGAGACGCAUGAGCUGUGAGACGUAAGGGAAUAUGAAAAUGAUGUAGUACGUAUUUAAGCUUUAAAAAGAUAAAUAUAAAAACCAUGUGUAGAUACAUUUGUAGUAAUUAUUCACCUGAAUGAGAGAAACUGUCUAGAGACGAGAUGCACACGAGCGUUUGUGUUGAAUUGUGUUGUUUUAAUUCUCAAAGACGUGAGGGCAAACGCAGUCUGAUUUAAUCGUAUUUGUUCUAAUUAAAUAAUAGCCUAUAUGUAGCUUGAAAUGGAUUUGUUGUGACUGUGAUAAUAAGAACGUGUGCGUAGCGAACGUAGGAAACGACUGCGUCUGUCGACGUGUGUGAAAAUUACAGACGCGAGUUUUUUUUAGCUUGUGGUGCUUUAUAAUUGUGAGGGUUACAUAUUUGUGAGAUCCUAAUAGUUUGUUAUAUGAAGCUGUAGACAGUUGAACGGAGAGUUUUAGCUGCCAGGCGCUCGCUGUCCUCUGCAUGUGCUGCUGCUGAUGUAUCACUCGCACGGCCGGCUGAGCUUAGAACUAAAGAUGAUGCUGUUUUUAUACGUUCUUUCGCGAGAUAUGUUUAUUAUAUUGUAUACAUGUAAUUAGGUUUCAUAACUAGUGUUUAGGGAGCAUUUUGAGCACAGUAAAUGUGAACUAUGAGUUGUUGGAAUUACCAAAGGGUCAAAGGGGGCUGGGUAGUGCAGAAAGGGGGAGAGAUAAAUAUGUUUAAAUUAAAGAAUAAAGAUUAUAGGCGUCGAGUUAUUCUUAAGAUGUCAGUGGUAGAUCAGUGAGCGUCGAGGACUGACUGAAAGCUGGAAUGUAUAAUGUGUUACGUGAGAGGAAACGUGUGUGUGUGUGUGUGUGUCAGAGAGAGAGAGAGACUGUAUGUGUCUGAUCUCGAACAUUUUAUGUUUUAAGGUUUGUCUAAGUAAAAGAUAAUUAAGUAAAAUAUCUA